rnacentral:rRNA from 1 species
UACGUAGGGCGCAAGCGUUGUCCGGAAUUAUUGGGCGUAAAGAGCUCGUAGGUGGUUUGUCGCGUUGUUCGUGAAAACUCACAGCUUAACUGUGGGCGUGCGGGCGAUACGGGCAGACUGGAGUACUGCAGGGGAGACUGGAAUUCCUGGUGUAGCGGUGGAAUGCGCAGAUAUCAGGAGGAACACCGGUGGCGAAGGCGGUUCUCUGGGCAUGAUCUGACGCUGAGGAGCGAAAGUGUGGGGAGCGAACAGG